rnacentral:rRNA from 1 species
AUUCCAGCUCCAAUAGCGUAUAUUAAAGUUGUUGCAGUUAAAAAGCUCGUAGUUGGAUUUCGGAAUGGGUCAGUUGGUCCGCCGCAAGGUGAGUUACUGACUGAUUUGUUCUUCUUCGCAAAGACUGCGUGUGCUCUUUACUGAGUGUACGUAGGAUUUACGACGUUUACUUUGAAAAAAUUAGAGUGUUCAAAGCAGGCUAUCGCUUGAAUACAUGAGCAUGGAAUAAUGGAAUAGGACUUUGGUUCUAUUUUGUUGGUUUCUAGGACCGAAGUAAUGAUUAAGAGGGACAAUUGGGGGCAUCCGUAUUUCGUUGUCAGAGGUGAAAUUCUUGGAUUUACGAAAGACGAACAACUGCGAAAGCACUUGCCAAGAGUGUUUUCAUCG